ACCAGCUGUACCAGAAGACUGUGUGAUCACGCUCUCCGCAGCCGAUGUGAGUAAGACCUUUAGACAGGUCAACAUUCAUAAGGCCGCAGGGCCAGACGGAUUACCAGGACGUGUACUGCGAGCAUGCGCUGACCAACUUGCGGGUGUCUUCACUGACAUUUUCAAACUCUCCCUGUCCGAGUCUGUAAUGCCAACAUGUUUUAAGCAGACCACCAUAGUGCCUGUGCCCAAUAACACUACGAUAACCUACCUAAAUGACUACCGACCCGUAGCACUCACGUCUGUAGCCAUGAAGUGCUUUGAAAGGCUGGUUAUGGCUCACAUCAACUCCAAUUUGCAUACCGCCCCAACAGAUCCACAGAUGAUGCAGUCACAAUUGCACUCCACACCGCCCUUUCCCACCUGGACAAAAGGAACACCUAUGGGAAAAUGCUAUUCAUUGACAACAGCUCAGCUCAGCAAAGCCAUAGUGCCCUCAAAGCUCAUCAAUAAGCUAAGGACCCUGGGACUAAACACCUCCCUCUGCAUCUGGAUCCUGGACUUCUUGAUGGGCCGCCCCCAGGUGGUAAGGGUAGGUAACAACACAUCAGCCACGCUGAUCCUCACACAUGGGGCCCCUCAGUGGUGCGUGCUCAGCCCCCUCCUGUACUCCCUGUUCACUCAUGACUGCAUGGCCAGGCAUGACUCCAACACCGUCAUUAAAUUUGCUGAUGACACAACAGUGGUUGGCCUGAUCACUGACAACAAUGAGACAGCCUAUUGGGAGGAGGUCGGAGACCUGGCUGUGUGGUGCCAAAACAACAACCUCUACCUCAAUGUGAUCAAGACAAAGGAGAUGAUUGUGGAAAAAGAGGACCGAGCACGCCCCCAUUCUCUUCGACGGGGCUGCAGUGGAGCAGGUUGAGAGCUUCAAGUUCCUUGGUGUCCACAUCACCAACAAACUAACAUGGUCCUGGCAUGGCCCAAACCUUUUCCCCCUCAGGAGACUGAAAAGAUUUGGCAUGAGUCCUCAGAUCCUCAAAAAGUUGUACAGCUG
rnacentral:lncRNA from 1 species